AAUAUUUGACAAUGGGGGCAACCCUGAUCCAGCCAUGCCGCGUGGGUGAAGAAGGUCUUCGGAUUGUAAAGCACUUUAUGUUGGGAGGAAGGGCUGUAGGCUAAUACCCUGAAGUUUUGACGUUACCAACGGAACAAGCACCGGCGACCUCUGUGCCGGCAGCCGCGGUAGUACAGAGGGUGCAAGCGUUAAUCGGAAUUACUGGGCGUAAAGCGCGCGUAGGUGGUUCAGUAAGAUGGGUGUGAAAUCCCCGGGCUUAACCUGGGAACUGCUUUCAUAACUGCUGAGCUAGAGUACGGUAGAGGGUAGUGGAAUUUCCUGUGUAGCGGUGAAAUGCGUAGAUAUAGGAAGGAACACCAGUGGCGAAGGCGACUACCUGGACUGAUACUGACACUGAGGUGCGAAAGCGUGGGGAGCAAACA
rnacentral:rRNA from 1 species